UCCGGUUUGUCACCGGCAGUCUGAAGUGAGUCCCCAACUUAAUGCUGGCAACACUUCACGGGGGUUGCGCUCGUUGCGGGACUUAACCCAACAUCUCACGACACGAGCUGACGACAACCAUGCACCACCUGUAAACCGACCGCAAGCGGGGCACCUGUCUCCAGGUGUUUCCGGUUCAUGUCAAGCCUUGGUAAGGUUCUUCGCGUUGCAUCGAAUUAAUCCGCAUGCUCCGCCGCUUGUGCGGGCCCCCGUCAAUUCCUUUGAGUUUUAGCCUUGCGGCCGUACUCCCCAGGCGGGGCGCUUAAUGCGUUAGCUGCGGCACGGAACUCGUGGAAUGAGUCCCACACCUAGCGCCCAACGUUUACGGUGUGGACUAC
rnacentral:misc_RNA from 1 species